rnacentral:piRNA from 1 species
UAUCUGAAGAGUUGAGUAUAUGUGG